rnacentral:rRNA from 1 species
UACAGGGGGUGCAAACGUUGCUCGGAAUCAUUGGGCGUAAAGCGCACGUAGGCGGUUCGUUAUGUCGGAUGUGAAAGCCCUUGGCUUAACCGAGGAAGUGCAUCCGAAACUGGCGAGCUAGAGUACUAAAGAGGAUCGCGGAAUUCCCGGUGUAGAGGUGAAAUUCGUAGAUAUCAGGAGGAACACCGGUGGCGAAGGCGGUUCUCUGGGCCUGUACUGACGCUGAGGAGCGAAAGCGUGGGGAGCGAACAGG